UGCUAAUACAUGCAGUCGAGCGGACAGAAGGGAGCUUGCUCCCGGACGUUAGCGGCGGACGGGUGAGUAACACGUAGGUAACCUGCCCCUUAGACUGGGAUAACUCCGGGAAACCGGAGCUAAUACGGGAUAAUAAAGAGAAUCACCUGAUUCUCUUUUGAAAGACGGCUUCUACCUUUCCCUAAGGAAUGGGCCUGCGGCCCAUUACCUAUUUGGUAAGGUAACGGCUUACCAAGGCAACAAUCCUUACCCAACCUAAAAGGGUGAUCGGCCCCCCUGGAACUGAAACCCGGCCCAAACUCCUACGGAAGGCACCAUUAGGAAAUCUUCCCCAUGGAACAAAAUUCUGACGAACCACCCCCCCGUGAUUGAGGAAGGCCUUCGGGUCUUA
rnacentral:rRNA from 1 species